GCGUAAAGCGCACGCAGGCGGUCUGUCAAGUCGGAUGUGAAAUCCCCGGGCUCAACCUGGGAACUGCAUUCGAAACUGGCAGGCUUGAGUCUUGUAGAGGGGGGUAGAAUUCCAGGUGUAGCGGUGAAAUGCGUAGAGAUCUGGAGGAAUACCGGUGGCGAAGGCGGCCCCCUGGACAAAGACUGACGCUCAGGUGCGAAAGCGUGGGGAGCAAACAGGAUUAGAUACCCUGGUAGUCCACGCCGUAAACGAUGUCUACUUGGAGGUUGUGCCCUUGAGGCGUGGCUUCCGGAGCUAACGCGUUAAGUAGACCGCCUGGGGAGUACGGCCGCAAGGUUAAAACUCAAAUGAAUUGACGGGGGCCCGCACAAGCGGUGGAGCAUGUGGUUUAAUUCGAUGCAACGCGAAGAACCUUACCUGG
rnacentral:rRNA from 1 species